AACUCCUAUCUUCUGAUUCCUCUUUUCUCCCUAACCUUUUAAUUUAUUAAUUCAUUUACCCAUUCUGCGGAAAAUCCAGACCCCAGCUGUGUGGUUACAGAGUCGGCAUUCUCACCAUUGACUCUUCCUACCUCCUUUCCUGUAGGGACCAAAAAUCCCGGGGCAAAAGGAGAAAAAGAAAGGGUUGGUGGCUGCAAGGAGGAGGCAAAGGCAAGGCAAGCCAGUCAUGCUCUCAUGCCCAGGCCAGAGUGCAGUGGAGCAAUCUUGGCUCACUGCAACCUCUGCCUCCCAGGUUCAAGCGAUUCUCCUGCCUCAGGCACCUCAGUAGCUGGAACUACAGGCAUGCGCCACCACGCCUGGGUAGUUUUUUUUUUAUUUUUAGUAGAGAUGGGGUUUCACCAUAUUGGCCAGGCUGGUCUUGGACUCCUGACCUCAUGAUCUUUCCGGCUGGGCCUCCCAAAGUGC
rnacentral:lncRNA from 1 species